GCCCAGCCCCACCACCUGGGAGGCCUCCACCAAGUGAUCUAACUUCCCCAGGCUUUGUCGUCCUAGUCGGUGAAACAGCUCUAAUGACAGAACCCACUUCCCAGAGUUGUUGCAACUAGUAAAAUAAACGGUAGAAGUUCUCCUAAGAGACCACGACACCGUGACUCCACCGAACAAGAGAUCUGCUUUCUCUCGGCCUCCAAACCCUGGGCAGAGCGAAAGAAAAAGCUGAAGCCAGCAGUCACCCAGAGUUCAAGGUCUGAAAAAGAGACUAAAACAAAACCCCAAAACUAUGGAGAAACAGAGGCUCACAGGGGCACGCACCAUUCCGAGAGAGGAAUGAGCCAGAAAAUGAGGCUGAGGUGAGCGGCCAGGGAGGCAGGAAGAGAAGAGAAGAAAGAGCAUCUGGGAAAUUGAGAGAGGAAGGUGGAAAGGUGUCCACGCGCCGUGCCACAUGGAGCUCACUGGCGGGGCCAGCUUCUGUGCCGAGCGGCACGACUUCCCCCGGGGCUCGCGGCCUGGGCCUGCAUCUGUUUUAUGUGAGUAAUAAGAAGGGGGUAAUUCCAGAAGGGCAGGGGACGCGGGGAGGUCCUUGCUACCUUUGUAAGGCAACAUCGAAAAGGGAAACGUGCUCGUGACAUUUUCAUUAAUCGGCGUGGUUAAGGCACGUCUCGGCCGGAGGGCUGCCCGGGGAGGAGCCUAGAAGCCACCAGAGGAGCCGGACUCAAGGGUCUGGGUGUGAAGCAGCCCCCCCACCUGCGAUCUGGGGGAUCUGGGAGACGCGACCUCCGCUUGGAGAAUGUGAGCCCUGUAGACAGGAGGGAAGAAUGCCCUGUUUAUUUUCACCUGCCUCAUUUCAGGCUGGCUGACGUCUUCAUGCCCACUCUGUCCCCUCCGUUUAGCCUCAGCCAAGCAUGCAGCCCUACGGCCAAGGCCGUGCCUCAUGCUCGGUCAGUUUGGCACAACCAGGCUAGGGGGAGCUCAAAAGGGGAAAUACUGGGAAAUGAAAAAUGCUCACAAUUCUCAAAAAUGCUCACAAUUCUCAAAGUCUGUUUUUAAAAAGAAAACACCCCAAAACAUGAAAAAGAUUUGCUCCUCGCCCUCUGAGAGCUGUGGACGUACCAUAAGGCACAGCGGGUGUCCGCAGGGCACUCACCACAUCUGAGGGCUGGUCGGGGCCACUAUUUUUUUUUCUUGUCAAAAUAAAUGGGCCUUUUGUGUUGAAAAAGAUUUCAUGGUUUGAUUGCCUCUGAGGACGGCCAAGCCUCAUUGACGUGAAAGCACCUCACUGAGACUCCCGCUGCCAUGGGCUGGCCGGCCUGGGUGACCUUCACUCCAGGGUGGGGACGGCUGCCUCCCUCCCGCCCCUGCUCUAGGGGGGAACCCCGGCCCUCCCUCCAGACCCCAGGAUAGAGGCCAAGCUGACGACAGAGCUGGGAGA